rnacentral:lncRNA from 1 species
ACGGAUUUGGGAUCAUCCGUCCUUUCCCUGUUUCAGUUCCAGGUGCUCCUGCUGAUCUUCCUGACGGAGUGGCUGCUGAUCCUCCUGGAGAUCAUCUUUGGAGCAAGCCCUUGGAAGAUGGACUGGGCUGGAUCCUGCCAGAAUUUGGAGGGAAUUCCGUGGGAAUUCAGGUGAGCAUUCCCAGCUCUCCUGGAUCCUUCUCAGGGUGAACAUUCCCUGGAAUUUCCCCUCUCCAGGAGAACAUUCCCAGCUCUCCUGGAUCCUUCUCCAGGUGAACAUUCCCUGGAAUUUCCCCUCUCCGGGAGAACAUUCCCAGCUCUCCAGCCCGGCUCCAAGCCCGGAAUCAUUCCCAGCCACUCUCAGCCCUGCAGUGCCACAGCAGCAGCAGCACCUCUGCAAUCCCUGUUUUUUUCCCUUAAAAUCUGGGAUUUUUCCCACCCCCAGGAAGCAGAAAGUGCCGCAUCCAGGAAAACGAGCGGAUCCCGGCGGUCCCUGCCAUCCAUCCAUCCCAGAAUUAUUUUUCCUUCUCUCCCAUCCAUCCCCAGAAUUAUUUUUCCUCUGUCCCAUCCAUCUUGGCGCGGGGGCGGCCGUUCCCUCCCCGGAGCGUGAAUCCCGGAGAUGGACGACUCCAUUCCGUGAAAAACGCGGAAUUUUUCCUCUGGCCGGAUGUCCUCCGGGUCGGCAGCUUCAUGUGCCGGUGACAGGGAUGGAAAACGUUCCCUGUGCCAGAGGAAGGUUUCCUUGGAAGAUUGAUUUGGGAUUUGUUCCUUCUCCAAUCUCCCCCACGGCUCCGGGGGAUCCUCACGCGGCUGCCGGGCGGUGCCAGAGCGGGAGAAGGGAACGGACGGGAUUUUUCCAUCGGAACUCUCCGGAAAUCCCAAUUUAGGGAACGGAAAGCCAAAAGAAAAUGGAAGGAAGGAAAAUAAAUCCCCAAGACUUUGGGCUUUGUUUACUCUGGGAAAACUGGGAAUGGUUUGGCAUUCCCAAUGUGAGCAGGAUCUGGCCAGAAUUGGGGAAUGUUCCCAGAUUUCCAUGGAAAAGGGAUUUUUCCCAAGGGAAUUUGGAGUCAGGCACAGCCCAUCCCUAAGGGAAAACCUCCAUGGAAUUCCAGGCCCUUUUUCCAUUGGAAAAUGGGGUGAAGAAGGAACUUUGAGGCUUUUCCUUCAUUCCCGAGUCCUUUCCCUUUGCUUCCCGGGAGGAUUUGGGGCCGUUCCCAGUGGGAAUCUGAUCCCAAGGAACCACCGGAGACCCCACGGGCUGAGCUGGGUUUGAGACCGAGCUGAGCCUUGGGAUUCUCCGCGGGAGGCAGGAGUCGGGUUUGGAGGAAGCACGGAUCGCUCCGGGUCGGGAGGGGCCUUCGGGACUGUCCCAUUCCAUGGAAUUCCCACCGGAAUUUUCUGGAUUCCCUCUCUGCACGAAACCCUCGGGAUUUAUUUACCCCCCACGGGAGCGGCU